GCCAUGGUAGCCAAGUGGGAAGGCGCACGCUUCAAGCGCGUGAGACACUGUCCAGCUCAGUUCGAUUCUGAGCCAUGGCA